AUUGAAUGCUGGCGGCAGGCCUAACACAUGCAAGUCGAGCGGAUGAAGGGAGCUUGCUCCUGGAUUCAGCGGCGGACGGGUGAGUAAUGCCUAGGAAUCUGCCUGGUAGUGGGGGAUAACGUCCGGAAACGGGCGCUAAUACUGCAUACGUCCUGAGGGAGAAAGUGGGGGAUCUUCGGACCUCACGCUAUCAGAUGAGCCUAGGUCGGAUUAGCCAGUUGGUGGGGUAAAGGCCUACCAAGGCGACGAUCCGUAACUGGUCUGAGAGGAUGAUCAGUCACACUGGAACUGAGACACGGUCCAGACUCCUACGGGAGGCAGCAGUGGGGAAUAUUGGACAAUGGGCGAAAGCCUGAUCCAGCCAUGCCGCGUGUGUGAAGAAGGUCUUCGGAUUGUAAAGCACUUUAAGUUGGGAGGAAGGGCAGUAAGUUAAUACCUUGCUGUUUUGACGUUACCAACAGAAUAAGCACCGGCUAACUUCGUG
rnacentral:rRNA from 1 species